GUUCAGUCAUUUUUUACAUCACUGGGAGCAUUGUCUCGUAAACAAUUUCAUGAUGGCUCAUAUGAAACGACUGAGCAGGCAAAUGCUAAAUGAUAACCACUCACUGAAUGAUAACCAAACACCAGUGUGAAAAGCAUAGAGGCAGAUAUUUAUUGCAGCUUGGCCUCGACUAUCACUGCUCUAAGAAAAACACACCAUUAGCCGUGAGUAAUUAUUAUAACAUUUUUCACAUCCAAGCAUUUACUUUUCAUUUCGGCAUGAUACUAUAAGGUGAUGACACUUAACAGUAGAAUCUAAACCUUGAUGUAUUUAUAAAUUCUCAGACUGCACACACAAAAGCAGUAAUACUUGUC